UACGGAGGAUCCAAGCGUUAUCCGGAAUCAUUGGGUUUAAAGGGUCCGUAGGCGGUUUUGUAAGUCAGUGGUGAAAGCCCAUCGCUCAACGGUGGAACGGCCAUUGAUACUGCAAGACUUGAAUUAUUAGGAAGUAACUAGAAUAUGUAGUGUAGCGGUGAAAUGCUUAGAGAUUACAUGGAAUACAGAUUGCGAAGGCAGCUUACUACACAAUGAGUGACACUGAGGCACGAAAGCGUGGGGAUCAAACAGG
rnacentral:rRNA from 1 species